rnacentral:lncRNA from 1 species
GCACUUCUGUAAAUGCAACUCAAGAAAGUUCCAUUUGGUUGCAGACCUCUAGCGCUUAUACAGAAGGAAGCACUGGUAGGUUGGUUAAUUUUAAUAAUUUUUUUUUAAUAAUUAUGAAUAGGGGGACAGUAAUUUCAUAUAUUUGCGAAGAGAAAGUCAGAAAUGAAUAUGCUGAUCUUGUCAAAACUAAAAUACUUGGUCGAAUCAGGAUGACAUUGACUAUUCGACGCGAUUGUAUCCACGACUGUAAAGUAUACAAAAUUGAAAAUGAGUGUUCCUUCGGAAACCAAAAUGAUCUUGCUCUACCUUCCCGACAACAUUAACACAAUACCAAAUUAUCGUCCUUUGAUUGCAAUGAUGUUAAGUCGAAAUCAACAAAACUGAUCUAUAAUAAAUGUAUACUAGAUCCUUAAACGAUUUUGUAUAUACGAAAUUUUAAGUAUGUUGCAUAUCAUGAUUAUAACAUUAUGCAUAUGUUUCUUAACAUUCCAUUAAGGAAAACUUAUGCACAGAAUACACGACCCGAAUUUGGGAAUUUCUCAAACAAGGUUAUUUUUAGAAAUUUAAACAAGGUUCCAUAUAUGCAUGUUUCUACAACAACUCUUCGUCGGAACAUGGGAAAUGAUUUAUAGUUUGCGUUAUUUUUUCAUUUCAUUUUCUAUUUUGAUUAUUAUAUACAGUUCUCAUAAUUUAGAAAAAUAAUCAUAAUAAAGAUAUCUUUACUUUGCGUAAACAUGGUAAACGAUCUCGGGAUUUUUUAUAGGUACAUGUAGCAUGUUUCAGUAACUGAAUGUGAUUUUCAAACCUCUCCGAUAUCCUCUUGGUGUUUGUUAAUACUUUGCAACAAAACAAAACAAAAAUUGUUACACUCUCUGAAUUCUGAUUUUUAGUUGUAGUAUGAAGCAGUUUUUCUGUCAGUCGUAUACCCAAUGUAAAUAUGAAGGGGAUAUGGAGCAAAUGUACAUGAGACACUAUUACUAUCAAGUCAUAGUAAAACCUAAAUAUUGAACUUUUUAGUGUUGCCCUUCAUCUUGAAGUGAACAUUCGACAAUGAUCAAUAUUUCACAUAACUGGUAGUUAGUUCAAGUUGACCCUUCGCAUUGGUUUGAGCAGAAUUCGUCGUUAAAUAUCAUACAAAAGUUACAUUCCUAAUUUUAUGAAUAUUUUUGAUACUUUUAAAUUUCACCGAAAAGCGAAAAGAAAUGAAAACACCAUGUCCAGCAUUAAUAAACCUUUACUUGGGGGAAUAAUUUGAUAUUUGUUUUAUUUAAGAUUUUUUAUAUCUUUUGCCAAACGAAGGCGGGAAAGGAAAAUAGUAUUUCAUCUGUCCAUCAUACAGUACACGUAAGAAAGUCCGUUUAUCUAGUUUAAACAUAUUUAUUUUCAGUGGAUUGAGAAACAUGUUAUUGCAACUAAUAUUGAUCCCUUUCCAUUUUGCGGGUACGAGUGUUGCCUUUUAUCCUGCAAUUGGGUGUCCUAAUACAGAUACAGACCUACAGAUAUCGCUAUGCUGUAUUUGUAUAUCCUACAGAUAUCGCUUUAAAGCUCCGCCCACAUGCCGGACUGAGUAUUGCAUGAACCUGCGUGACCUCGGAAUGUGUAUUGCAGUCGCAUUCCAAUGACAUAUUGUUUGACCUUAUGCGAAUUACGAUUACUUUUAUACAUUUGUACGUUAUGUUUGUUUUCAAAAAAUUUCUUUAUAUAGCAAAAACAAUUACACCAAUUUUCCAAUAACAUACACACACGAACAGCAGUCUUUUCUAAGAUGACAGUUAUCAAUUUCAAAACUUGAAUUUGUAUGAUUGUGUAACAAAUUCAACUAUGUCAAUUUCAGCAUGCAUGUUUAGUGAAUGUCAAGUCUGAAGCGUAGGACAACUCGUACACUUCUGUUUCAAAUGAGAAAUUUUUUUCUGUGUAUUUUUCUGUUGAAAUUAGUUGUUAUGUAAAAUAUAUAAUUAUUCACCUUGAUCGAUGUAUUACUGUUGACCAUUCAAUUCUUUUUUUUGGCGAACCCGUCUUCAGAUGAACGUGUGAUUUUAAUAUAACUACGCGGGCCUCAAGGGAUUUCAAAUCGAAAAUAAAGCCACAAAAGUGGGUUUUUGAAUCUUUCAAAUCAGAAACAAUAUACAGAAUUAAUUGCAGGAUAAAGCUCUCAUUACACCUGUUUCGUAGUCUCGUACACAUACAGCUGAUAUUUUAAGACACUAAACAAUUAUUGUAUAUGUAGCUGAACUAGUCUUCUCUUUUUCUAAUUAUACAAGGUGUCAUUAUUAAUGCAAGAAACAUGGCUUUUUCUUUUUAAGUAGGGUAAGUCUGUUAUCGUCCCCUUCCGACAGAAUAUCAUCGUUUCUCAAGACCACACUCGGAAAUGAUGUCAAGGGAGAGCCGAAAAUUCGGUCCCUGAAAUGUUCUCCACAAAACGGGGAUCUAACAAGAAACCUUUGCGUUAGUAGUCCGAUGCACUAACCACUUCAACACGGCUUUCCAUCUAUUUGUGGAAGUAAAAGUUAUUAUAGAUCAUGAAAUUUUGUUCAUAGUGCGUCUUGAAUAACCGAGGGGUCCUUAUAAAAAAUAAGGUUAUAUUGACCAAAAUUUCACAUAUAUGAGUGACUGAUUAAAGUUUGCGUUAAAGUCCAUAUCUGAGAAAUAAUAUUUUGUCAGUAGAUGCGUCUGUAAUAGUGAGAAUCGAGGGUCCUAAAAAAGGAAUAUUUAAUCUUGACAUACAAUUCAUUGAUGAGUAAAUGAGGUGAAAGACUGCAUUUAAAUCCAUAUCUGUUAUGAUGAAUACAAAUAUUGUGUCAGUAGAUGCAACUUUCAUAGUCACGAGUUUCAAAAUCAAGUUUUGAAAAAAGAAUUAGGUGAUAUUAUAUUAUUAAUAUUAAUACCAUAUAUUAUUAUAAUAGGACCAGUUCUUUUAAUUGAGGAUUAAAAUCAACUCAAUAUACAGAUUGUUUAUAUAAUAUUUUGCACCUCAUUUCCACCUCCGUAUUUCCGGCCCAAAAAUUUGGUACAUGCACCAAUCUACUCUCUUGUUAAUAAUUGACAUUAGUUUAAGUCAAAUAUCUGUGCUAAUUUCUUUGCAGGAGAACAUACUCAAGGGGUACUGAUAUAUAUAAUUUGUGUAGGAGCAUUGACACUCGUAGUAACACUAACAAUAAUAGUUAUGAUACACAAGAGAAGAGGAAAACAAGUUAAUUGCACGGCACGCUAUCAUAUAAACAACAGUUCAAAUCUGCAAACGCAGGACUUGCCAGAUGAACUUUACACAACAAUUUUAUAAUAUAUAAUUGUUUUAAAAUACAUUUAUGAUGAACAAUCUCACUGAAAAUUAUGAUUUUUCAUGAUUCUCGGCUUUGACUAAAAGGACAAACAUUUGAUAUUCAGGAAGAGAAGAUUUUUUGGCAGACUGAAUACUGAUUUACAUCCGCUACUUUGCAUACGUUUUGUAUG